AAGAUGGCAGCCUCCACAAGCGGGAUAUUUUGGCUUCAUUUUUGCACAAUGGUAGGAGGCGGAGUCGCGUCGUCCAUGUUUUCUACAGUCAAUGGUAUGAACUCUCACACACAGCAAAACAAAACAAGAUUUUUAAAGCACAUCAUCACUUUCUUGAUGCUGCCCCUUCUGACUUUUGGAAUUGUGAGCUACACAAUUUUCACAAGCAGCAAAUGAGAAGUGUCGUCUCUGAGGCAACAGAUGACAGAGGUUCAUCCUGUGGCAGACACUCAGCCAAAUUUCGCCACAGAAUCUCAAGGAGCCAUGAUCCUAAGCGACGUCUCCUCGUGGACACACUUGCCUAGAGAGAACUCUGCAAAGUGGUGGUUGUGCAAAUUUAUGCACUGGGUGGACCCCUCCAGGGCCAAGAGGAGAGUAAUCUAAGAAUUACAUAGUUUGCACAGCAGGAUUUAAAGUGAUAUAACAUGGAGAAAAAGUUUACAUUUAUGAACUCUGGGCAGCGUAAUAAUUAAUUUUCUUUCCUCAGGAAUAUUUGCCUGUGCCUCCAGGGAACUGCUGGCCCCUGCAGGACAAUUCCUCUAAAUUGUCCUGCACAGAGAUGAGCGGGGAGGAGUAAAUGUGUUUCAAAUGUUCUUUUGUACUUUUAAAUGUGUUUCAAAUAAAUAAAUUUUGUGUCUUAAAAAAGUUUUAGAACACGUCGCAGCAUUUCCUUUUAUGUGAUAUGGUUGGGUCAUAACGUGUUUCAAAAAUAAUGCUAACACCACCAAGGUGAUUCCCAAAGAACCUUUAGCCAUGAACCUGGCAUAUCUCAGG